AUAAUUUCAAAAACCAAUUCUAAUAUCUCUCUCUACUCUCUCUCUCUUCGAUGAAGAAUACAAAGCAUCCGAUAUACCCGUUCUUUGUUUUGUUGUUAGCUGAGUUUGUUUUAGUUUCAAAUGAUUGAACAAAUCUUCAACACGAGCAGACGCUUAGAAACCCUAACUUCUGGAAGAUCAAAAGGCAGAGGUUCAGAAGUUGUUCAUCGAAGCUCAAGGGAUCGAAGAUUCAAGUUGAUGGGUAGAUGCUUAAAAGAAUCUAGGGUGUCGAAGUCAGAACCACAAGAUUCGAGCCUUUCAAAAGCUAUAUUGCUCAUAAUUACUGCCAUCACACUGUUUCUCUCUCUACAAAAACCAUUCAGAUGUUUAUAGAACUUCGCUGAUUAGAAUAAACAUGUUCCGGUACUUCGUUGUUUGGAUUAAAUAUGUUCCGGAACUUCGUUGUUUGGAUUGGAUAUGUUCCGGCGGUGCAAAAGCAAGUCUUGUGACACUGUGGACACUUGAUGAAUACACAAGGAAACAAAAAAAACUCCUAUAAGAACCAUUGAUCAUGAUCAGUUGGUAGAUGACAACCAGGCUAUAACUUUUUUUGAAAAUGUGUUGAUUAACGUAUCAACAGUUGCAAACCAUGAUGCAUUUGAUCUUAUGGAACCUACAAAUUCUCUAAAGGACAAGUUAUCGGCUGACUUUGUAAAAGUCAGCCCUUACAGACCUUUCGGUACUUAUGUUUUUUGCACUCAAGGCGAUGAUCUGGGCUUAUCUUCAUCGAGACAGCAGCUGGUUGUAGAAAACCCAAAUGGUUUAGGUUUAGAAAGUCAAACAGAGGAUUAUGCAACUACUUUAUAAUUGUUCAGGUACAAGGGCACUCAUUCCAAAAGAAGGUUUUGCUACUAUUCGGGUUCGGCAGGCGGCAAUUCCGGAGAGGAUAAGUCAAACGGAAACCAGGGUGGGCCCACUCAAAGAGCCUCAGCGUUGGCGGCCUUGAACUCUGCUAUCAAAUCAUCACCGACCACUUCAGCUGCUCCGAAAGUACCGAGUCGAGGUUCACAGAGAGCAGCUACAAUGGCCGCUUUAUCUUCGGUUCUCACUGCUGAGAAAAAAGGAUCAUCCGAUGCUUCUCCAGCUCGGCCCGUUAGAAGUACUGAUGCUUCUCCAGCUCGGUCCAUUAGAAAGCCACCGUCUGAAACUGUCUCACCUGGAAUUAUAGAGGUUAUGAUCGCUUGCAACUUUAUACAGACGGUUUCCCUUCUUUGGAGAAGGUAGGUAUUAGUGUACUCAGACCCAAAGAUGCUCAUCAAGUUCUAUAUUUGCUUCAACAGCUUCAUAAUGUCAAGUGUCUUACACUAAACUUGGAAAUUGUUGAGGUAAUUGGUAGUGUUUAACUUAUAUCUGGAUAGAACCAGUAGCAUAAUUGUGAUAUAACCAGCAGCAUCAUUGUGAUAUACAAUCAGUAUAUGUUGACGCUUUGGUGGACUCGUAAGUCGCUCUUUUCUAUUGCUUUUGAGUUGGCUGGUUUUGUUAAAAACAUGUCUACUCUUAAAUGCAUAAAGCCUUUUAAAACAGAUUGAGGAAUUUCUAUCAUUUCAUAACCUUUUAAAUGCAUAAAGCCUACUAAAUCAGUUGUUAAUAGAAAUGGAUUAUUAAUGUCUAGGCGCGCUUUUUAGAGCAGAAAUUGGUACUGGCUGCACAUGUGUGCCUUAUAUCUGGAUAGAACCAGCAGCAUCAUUGUGAUAUAACCAGAAGCAUCAUUGUGAUAUACAAUCAGUAUGUGUUGCUUAUACGAUCUCAGCUAGAGGUGGUAGCUCUUGACGCUUUGGUGGACUCACCAUCCAUGUACUUUACUGAGUGGUACUGGUGAAAUAUUAAGUCAUGGAAACAUGCACACAGGGUGUUCGACGAUAUGCUCUCAAGAACCUGGGAGUGUUAAGAGAAGCUAUUGUGAUGGGAUUAAUUGUUGUCAGCGCGUUUCACGUAUACAAAGUAUCGAAGUUUUUAAUACAAAGCAUAAAUGAUACAAGUUUGGUGCUAGAAAAACCUGUAGUUGCCUACUUUAUAUUUACUAUUUUCAACAUAUAUAAUGGUAGUUUAACCUGAUGUGUUCUUUCGUGUUUUGAGUUUGUAAAAUCUGUAUUAAUUUAACGUUUCUUGGCCGAUAAUCAUUAGGUGUUGGCAUAAGUAUUCUGGUCAGUUAUACACUAUGUUACUAAUGUUGUAUUUGCAGGGCUUACUUGAAUCGGCUGCAAAAGGUGGAUUUGAUGUUUUUGACUUCACAACAAAAACUAGCAUUCUGGAUCAACAUGAACACAAUGCUUGUAUCAUGCAUGCCUCCAUGUUUUUCAAAAAUCGAGCAAGAUAUUCAAGAACUCGUUGUCACACGCUAAUAGUUUCCAAGAAGAAUCUCAACUCGAGUCGUUUACAUCUAACAAAAAGGAUGAUUCUGUUUGUAGUGAAGCCACUGUUGUGAGUUUUUUUGAUGAAGAAAGUAUACAGGAUCAGACUGAGAAAUGACAGCGUAUUGGCCGGGAUGUUGUUCAUUCGACAGGCAAGGUAUUAAGGUGUUGUUCCUAUGUCAAGACGACAAAAGUCAGAGACGUUUAGAGCACAGUACAUUGAUGCAAAAGAACUCGAGUAUGAUGGCAUUCCCUCUCACACAUUAUUUGGCUACCAUUAGCAUUCAACAAAUUGAUCAUUGAUUGAUCUGAUACUUUGUAUUUUAUUCUUUAAUUAUUUUGUUUUUUUCUAGAGUGUCUGUUAGUACAUGGAAUGUUGCUGGGAAACUGCCUCCAGCUUUGGAUGUUUGUUUUUCCUUUUGUAAUAUUUGUUUUUGAAACAGAGGUUAGGAUUUCAAACAGUGGUAUGAGAAACAUAUGUUUGAAACCUCUGUUUGGUUACAAACAGAGUCUUGAGAAA